CUACGUGCCAGCAGCCGCGGUAAUACGGAAGGUCCAGGCGUUAUCCGGAUUUAUUGGGUUUAAAGGGAGCGUAGGCUGGAGAUUAAGUGUGUUGUGAAAUGUAGACGCUCAACGUCUGAAUUGCAGCGCAUACUGGUUUCCUUGAGUACGCACAACGUUGGCGGAAUUCGUCGUGUAGCGGCGAAAUGCUUAGAUAUGACGAAGAACUCCGAUUGCGAAGGCAGCUGACGGGAGCGCAACUGACGCUUAGGCUCGAAGGUGCGGGUAUCAAACAGGAUUAGAUACCCUGGUAGUCCGCACAGUAAACGAUGGAUGCCCGCUGUUGGUACCUGGUAUCAGCGGCUAAGCGAAAGCAUUAAGCAUCCCACCUGGGGAGUACGCCGGCAACGGUGAAACUCAAAGGAAUUGACGGGGGCCCGCACAAGCGGAGGAACAUGUGGUUUAAUUCGAUGAUACGCGAGGAACCUUACCAGAUCUUGACAUCCUG
rnacentral:rRNA from 1 species